rnacentral:rRNA from 1 species
CACCUACUAGCUAGCCUCCUCUUCAAAUUCAACCUCCUCCUCCCUUAUUUUUAACCCCUAACACACUAAAAUAAGAGGCCAAACCAUUUUUCCCCCUAAGUAUGGGCGACAGAAAAGGAACUCAGAGCAAUAGAAAAAGUACCGCAAGGGAACGCUGAAAGAGAAAUGAAAUAACCCAGUAAAGCCAAAAAAAGCAGAGAUUCCACCUCGUACCUUUUGCAUCAUGAUUUAGCAAGUAUUCCCGAGCGAAAAGAAUUUUAGUUCGGCCCCCCGAAACCAAGUGAGCUACUCCAAGGCAACCUAAAAUAAGGGUUAACCCGUCUCUGUGGCAAAAGAUGUGGGAAGACCUUUGAGUAGCGGUGACAAACCAACCGAACUUGGUUAUAGCUGGUUGCUUGAGAAACGAAUAAAAGUUCUGCCUCUUGUAUUUCUUCCCUUCACUUCAGCCCGUUACUCAGGCCCCGCAAGAUAAAAGAAAAUAAGAGAGUUAGUCAAAGGAGGUACAGCCCCUUUGACAUAAAAUACAACUUUUCCAGAAGGGUAAAGAUCAUAAUACUUAAGGUGCCUAUAUUUGGGUGGGCCUAAAAGCAGCCAUCCCAUUAGAAAGCGUUAAAGCUCCAAUAUAUCCUCCACCCCCAAUUCCGAUAACAAAUCUAAACCCUCUCCCCCCUAUCAAGCCAUUCCAUAGAACCAUGGAAGAGAUUAUGCUAAAAUGAGUAAUCAGAGAAGAAUUCCACCUCUCUCUUUUGUACAUGUGUAAAUCGGAACGGACCCUCCACCGAAACUUAACGGGCCCAAACAACAGCGGGCACUGAAUAAUAAAUAACCAACAAGAAAAUUAUUCAAGAUAUCACCGUUAACCCUACACUGGUGUACUCCAAAAGAAAGACUAAAAAGAAAAGAAGGAACUCGGCAAAACACCUAAGCCUCGCCUGUUUACCAAAAACAUCGCCUCUUGCUAAUCCUGUAUAAGAGGUCCCGCCUGCCCAGUGACCCCUAAGUUCAACGGCCGCGGUAUUUUGACCGCGCGAAGGUAGCGCAAUCACUUGUCCCUUAAAUGAGGACCUGUAUGAAUGGCAUAACGAGGGCUUAACUGUCUCCUUUUCUCAGUCAAUGAAAUUGAACUUCCCGUGCAGAAGCGGGAAUCCACACAUAAGACGAGAAGACCCUAUGGAGCUUUAGACUUUACGACAGAUCAUUUCAACUACUCCCGCUAAAUGAAGUAAUAACUAUUGAACCCUGUCCCCUGUCUUCGGUUGGGGCGACCACGGGGAAGAAAAAAUCCCCCACGUGGACCAGAAGUACCCCUUAAUUACUUCCAUAGCUACGAGCCACAGCUCUAAUGCACAGAAUCUCUGACCUUGAGAUCCGGCAGAGCCGAUCAACGGACCAAGUUACCCUAGGGAUAACAGCGCAAUCCCCUUUAAGAGUCCCUAUCGCCAAGGGGGUUUACGACCUCGAUGUUGGAUCAAGACAUCCUAAUGGUGCAACCGCUAUUAAGGGUUCGUUUGUUCAACGAUUAAAGUCUUACGUGAUCUGAGUUCAGACCGGAGUAAUCCAGGUCAGUUUCUAUCUAUGACAUAUUCUUUUCUAGUACGAAAGGACCGAAAAGAAAAGGCCUAUGCCUCCAGCACGCCUUGCUUUUAACUAAUGAAACUAACUUAAAUAAACAAAAAAGCAUACACAUACAUAUUUGUAUACACACAUUUUUCCCCUAAAGAUAAUAGUGC